CAUGCAAGUUCGAGCGGAAACGAUCCUAGCUUGCUAGGAGGCGUCGAGCGGCGGACGGGUGAGUAAUGCAUAGGAAUCUGCCCGGUAGUGGGGGAUAACCUGAGGAAACUCAGGCUAAUACCGCAUACGUCCUACGGGAGAAAGCAGGGGCUCUUCGGACCUUGCGCUAUCGGAUGAGCUUAUGUCGGAUUAGCUGGUUGGUGAGGUAACGGCUCACCAAGGCGACGAUCCGUAGCUGGUCUGAGAGGAUGAUCAGCCACAUCGGGACUGAGACACGGCCCGAACUCCUACGGGAGGCAGCAGUGGGGAAUAUUGGACAAUGGGGGCAACCCUGAUCCAGCCAUGCCGCGUGUGUGAAGAAGGCCCUCGGGUUGUAAAGCACUUUCAGUGAGGAAGAAGGCUUGUCGGUUAAUACCCGGCAAGAAAGACAUCACUCACAGAAGAAGCACCGGCUAACUCCGUGCCAGCAGCCGCGGUAAUACGGAGGGUGCGAGCGUUAAUCGGAAUUACUGGGCGUAAAGCGUGCGUAGGCGGCUUGAUAAGCCGGUUGUGAAAGCCCCGGGCUCAACCUGGGAACGGCAUCCGGAACUGUCAGGCUAGAGUGCAGGAGAGGAAGGUAGAAUUCCCGGUGUAGCGGUGAAAUGCGUAGAGAUCGGGAGGAAUACCAGUGGCGAAAGGCGGCCUUCUGGACUGACACUGACGCUGAGGUACGAAAGCGUGGGUAGCAAACAGGAUUAGAUACCCUGGUAGUCCACGCCGUAAACGAUGUCGACUAGCCGUUGGGGUCCUCGAGACCUUUGUGGCGCAGUUAACGCACUAAGUCGACCGCCUGGGGAGUACGGCCGCAAGGUUAAAACUCAAAUGAAUUGACGGGGGCCCGCACAAGCGGUGGAGCAUGUGGUUUAAUUCGAUGCAACGCGAAGAACCUUACCUACCCUUGACAUCGUGCGAACUUGGUAGAGAUACCUUGGUGCCUUCGGGAACGCACAGACAGGUGCUGCAUGGCUGUCGUCAGCUCGUGUUGUGAAAUGUUGGGUUAAGUCCCGUAACGAGCGCAACCCUUGUCCCUAUUUGCCAGCGAUUCGGUCGGGAACUCUAGGGAGACUGCCGGUGACAAACCGGAGGAAGGUGGGGACGACGUCAAGUCAUCAUGGCCCUUACGGGUAGGGCUACACACGUGCUACAAUGGCCGGUACAAUGGGUUGCAAAGCGGCGACGUGGAGCUAAUCCCAUAAAGCCGGUCUCAGUCCGGAUCGGAGUCUGCAACUCGACUCCGUGAAGUCGGAAUCGCUAGUAAUCGUGCAUCAGAAUGGCACGGUGAAUACGUUCCCGGGCCUUGUACACACCGCCCGUCACACCAUGGGAGUGGACUGCACCAGAAAGUGGUUAGCCUAACUCGGAGGGG
rnacentral:rRNA from 1 species